rnacentral:tRNA from 1 species
GGGAUAUUAGCUCAGUUGGUAGAGCAAGUGACUGUUAAUCACUGGGUCGUUGGUUCGAAUCCAUCAUAUCCCGCCA